rnacentral:tRNA from 1 species
GGAGGUGAAUCUGCCAUAGUCUUACAACACUCGAAAUCAGUUGAACCGCAAGGUUCCGUGGGUUCGAAUCCCACCCGCUCCGCCA